rnacentral:tmRNA from 1 species
GGGGGUGCACUGGCUUCGACGGGGGUUGCGAAACUGUUUGGCGCAUGCCGAGGGGGUAGCUUUCCUCGCUAAUCCAGCUGCAAACUCAUAGUUGCCAACGACGACAACUACGCUCUCGCCGCUUAAGGCGUAAGCCCUGAACCCACUUGUGCCUGUGCUCGUGGAUGUAGGGUCACUCAUCACAGGAUCGGCCGCGGCGGCGACCCGCCAACCUCGGCUCAACCUUAGCGGGUAUGUGUUGCGGCGUGCCUCGCACGCUGUGUUGCCGUAACACGAGAACGAACAGCGAGCUAAGCAUGUAGUGCCGGGCACGGAGUACCUUCGGACGGGGGUUCAAUUCCCCCCACCUCCACCA